GAUGAACGCUGGCGGCGUGCCUAAUACAUGCAAGUCGAGCGAACGGACGAGAAGCUUGCUUUUCUGAUGUUAGCGGCGGACGGGAGAGUAACACGUGGAUAACCUACCUAUCAGACUGGGAUAACUUCGGGAAACCGGAGCUAAUACCGGAUAAUAUUUUGAACCGCAUGGUUCAAAAGUGAAAGUCGGUCUUGCUGUCACUUAUAGCUGGAUCCGCGCUGCAUUAGCUAGUUGGUAAGGUAACGGCUUACCAAGGCAACGAUGCAUAGCCGACCUGAGAGGGUGGUCGGCCACACGGGAACUGAGACACGGUCCAGACUCCUACGGGAGGCAGCAGUAGGGAAUCUUCCGGGAUGGGCGAGAGCCUGACGGAGCAACACCGCGUGAGUGAUGAAGGUCUUCGGAUCGUAAAACUCUGUUAUUAGGGGAGAACAUAUGUGUAAUUAACUGUGCACAUCUUGACGGUACCUAAUCAGAAAGCCACGGCUAACUACGUG
rnacentral:rRNA from 1 species